GACGAACGCUGGCGGCGUGCUUAACACAUGCAAGUCGAACGAAGUGGCGAACGGGUGAGUAACGCGUAAUCAACCUGCCCUUCAGAGGGGGACAACAGUUGGAAACGACUGCUAAUACCGCAUACUGAAGGUGGGGAUUGCGUCUGAUUGGCUGGUUGGAGGGGUAACGGCCCACCAAGGCGAUGAUCAGUAGGCGGUCUUAGAGGAAGAACGGCCAAAUUGGUACUGAGACACGGCCCAGAAUCCUAAGGGGGGGAGCAGGGGGGAAUCUUCCGCAAUGGACGAAAGGCUGACGGAGCAACGCCGGGUGAGUGAUGACGGCCUUCGGGUUGUAAAGCUCUGUUAAUCGGGACGCGGUACCGGAAUAGAAAGCCACUGCUAACUACGUGCCAGCAGCCGCGGUAAUAC
rnacentral:rRNA from 1 species